rnacentral:lncRNA from 1 species
UCCCCCCUGACAAACCUUUACCAACAUAAUCAUUGCUGUCUCCUUCAAGCUCUAACGUGAUGCCAGGGCACAGAAAAGCUCCCAGACUUUGCCCUGCACUUCCACUAAGUUUGAUAUGAAUGGUGUCUGCAGGGAGUCCUGUGAGGUGAUAUCGCUUGGUAACAAGAAAAGCUCCCAGACUCUGCCCUGCACUUCCACUAAGUUUGAUAUGAAUGGUGUCUGCAGGGAGCCCUGCGAGGUGAUAUCGCUUGGUAACUUCAUGGCUUAGCAUUGUUCCGACAGCGCGGUUUACAUUACAGAUUGGAGUUUCAAUAUAUACAGGAAGACUUUUCUCCAAAGCAGCUUUGGAAAGGGCUAUCAAAUUGUUAUCUAAAGCCA